rnacentral:lncRNA from 7 species
AUGGAAGGGGAGCUGGGCCUCAGAUGCUAGCUAGCUCUUCUCCACGUUUAGCUUCCAAUCCGUCCAUCUCUCUGCAGACUGCAGGGGUAUUUCUUGUAGUUCAGCUCAUGAGUUUCACAAGACUUCAUCACACGGUUAAACUACAAAUUGUGCGAGACAAAUUAGGUAUGUAUGUUUACCACUGUUUUAAUCGAUCUAACUUAGAAAACGUGUGUUCAACGUACGAGUGACUGUCAAGCCGAUGGUUGGCUUUGAUUGUGUGUGUUCGAAACCUAAUCAUGCAUGGCAUGCCGAACAAAUUUUGGUUGGAUGCAUAUAUAUAUGCUAGGACAUCUGAGGAUCAUAUGUGCCAAAUAGUUUAGCCAAUUAAUUUCUCACAAGCACGCAGAUUCAGCAGUUGGAUCAAACUUGAGAAACACCAUUUUGUUUGAUUCGUUCUCAUAUCUGCGGAGUUGCUAGCUAGUUGUUCUUGGCAUUGGUAGUUUGAGAACGAAUGUCCUUAGAACAUCCCGAGUAAUUUAUAGUGUGCAAAGUUUGAGAUCCGCUGGGUUUAAUCUGAGUUAGUUUUGAUCUUUAGAUCAAUUUUUAAGGUGCUAUUCGUCAAUAUUGGAUGGUCCGGAUCGAAUAAAUUCUAGUGGUCCCAUAUGAAGACCUUUGAAUUUCGUCCAGCAGAUUCCUUAUGGCGGCCUUGUGACUAUAUUGUUCGUAGUUUAUGAUUUUUAGACACCAUUUGAUAGGGUUUUGAGAUUUUCACCUAAAACUCCUCAUGCUGAAAACUGUUGGGUUGAUUUGUCAUACCGGGAGGUCUGAUAUUCAUACCGGAGGAUGAGGUCUAUUUUACUCAGCCUUUUGAGAGUCUUUUACUGAUUCUUCUCCUCCUCAAUUCUGGCAUUUUCUGCUGUGUUUUUUUAAAAUUAUUACUGAGUACAUCUCCCCACAAAGUUAGCGUGUGUAUAGUCAUUGUCUUUUUUAUAUGUAACUGCGUGGGAUUGAAUAAAAAAAUAUAAGCCAAAAUCACCUAGAGUGAAUAUUUGUUGGCUCUUAUUCAAGUUCUUUUGAUCGUCUGCUUGCUCUAAUCCAUGCAUACACCAAAUUUUAUUUUGUCUUUACGCUGCAAACAAAAACCAACUAUAUGCAUUACAUAUGUUGUGUGUAUUAUGCUGGCUUAUAUUAAUAUUUGCGUUUACAGUAGCGAUACUGUUGACCAGAAUUUUGGAAAUAAACCGGCUCCAACACCUACUUGCAAAGAUAUUUGGAACCGGUGACCAGCUGCACGACGAUGAAUCCUACAAGACGACCAUGUAAUACACAGUGUCGUCCUCUUCGUUCUACUACUCAACAGAGCAGUCGCCGACCAAUAACGAAUGGAGUAUUAUCUCUGUCCUUCACCUUACACCAUAUUCACACCAUAGAACUGCAAAUGUCCGAGGUACCAACUAACAUCGGUACCUUUGGCAUGAAUGAUGAAUGAAGAGGACGGCGAUGACUAUAUUAGAGAAUGGGAAAGUGAAUAACUGCUCGAUCUGUCACUAACAAUUUGUAAUUCAACAUCAGAGGCAUAUUAAUUUCGUUUAUGAAACGUUGUAAUAUAGACGUGCCUACGGUGGCGUCACGUUUGAUGUAUGGAUAUGUUUGACAUAGUAAGACAUGUUUCAU